GUGAUACAGUUUUUGUCCAAAGCCUAGAUUCAGAAACUUCCAUUUUCAAGGUUAUCUUUCACUAAAAAUUGCUACUUAUCUGUUUCUGUUCAUUUAUUCAUGAAAAUAAUCAUUAUAAUAAUUGAAUUGAUGAAUGGUAGGAUGAGAAGGGAGAGGAUUUUUACCUUUAGCUUUGAUAGGGUUUUCUAUCAUGGAUUCGAGCAAGUUGAUGUCUAUCAAUUUCUAGCCCAGCCUUUUUUUUUUUUUUUUUUUUGAUAGGUAAGAAAAGUUCAUGGUAAAUCAAAAUACCAAAGAACACGAUGAAACUUCAAAAAUUCAAAACCUAGAACUUUCUUACAGGUUGUUUUAUUUGACUUAAAAAGAUAAAAAACAAUCUGUUUUUUUAAUUACAAUUUCUGCACAACUAAACAGCACAUUAACAAACGAAUUGACUAAAAAACACAGAUCUACAAUAACCAUGAAAGAAUCAUCAUCAAAAACUAAUUCCCCAAAACAAAAAAUCAGACCCGUGGAGAGAAUAAAUUAAAAAUUAAAAACCAAAAAAGAACAAAUCAUAAAAAAUAAAAAAAAAAUAAAACAAAAGGACUCGGACUAAAUUUUCUAAGAACCCUAUUAUUAUUCUUGGUUUAAACCAAAACCUACGAAAUUUCAUCACAAUCAUCAAGAACCCGGAUUCAUAACUCACCUGUAGUGGGGCGAAAGUCUACCGAUCCCGGCGAGCAAACUCCCAAGAACCUGAUGCGAGUUUCUUUAUCUUGCAGCAAACCUAAAGACUCCGACCUCUCGUGCUUCUUCCGUGGAGAGAAUAAAUUCAAAAUUAAAAACCAAAAAGGAACAACUCAUAAAAAACAAAAGGGCUCGAAGACCAAAUUUUCCAAGAACCCGACUAUUUUUCUUGGUUUAAAGCAAAACCGACAUCAUCAAGAACCCGGUGGGAUUCAACUUACCUGUAGGACGACGCAAGUCUGCCGAUUCCAGCGAGCAAACUCCCAAGAACCCUGAUGCGAGUCCUCUAUCUUGCAGCAAACUUAAAGACUUUGACCUCUCGUGCUUCCUCUCCUCUCCUUGAAGAAGUCCUUCCGAUCCCAAGGAAGUGGUUUUGACGGCAUGAAAACCCAGUCAAUCGCAUGGGCAGCCCCGCCCCUAGCUUAAUCAGCCAACCACACAACCCUAACCCAAAUCUAAGGCUUCCAAAAUCCCACAACCACAAAACCACUACGCACUAAGCUGAUUCCCCGAGCUUCCACACCGAGAUCGAACCAAAUCACACCGUGCCCUAGCCUCUCGGCCAAUAAAACUAAAAAGUCCUCCGCCUUUCACUUCCCCUCCUUCAAGUCUAUGGCUUCUGCCGCGCCCUAGAUUCCACUUCGAGGGGAUGCCACCAUAGAUGAGACACAAAAGCCUCAUCUUCCUACCUCCAGUUUCUUUCACUUUCUACGCUACCAGGGGAAAAAAUUUGUUUUUGUUUCGAACGAGAAGGUGAGAUCGUGACGACAAUAAGGUACAUAAAAGAGAAGAGGAGAAGAAAAGAGGUGAAAGAAAGGAAAGUCUCAGGACUAAAGAAUGAGAAUGGUAUAUCUAUAUCAGAUCAUCGGCUUCAUUUAACCAGAAUUUAUAUAAUAUUUUCAUGUCCCAAUAAUUAAUUUCAUUUGUCCUAGUUUAUUUAUUUUCAAGGCCUAUUUAGCCAUGUUUUUUUAAACUGGGACACAUGGUAAUUUUUAAAUUUUGUUUUUAAAGAUCGUUUCAAAAUUAGAGAGAAAAAGAGUCAUGACUAAGAGUAUUUUGUUUAUUUGUUUCAAAAUUUUACUCUGGUUUUCGUUAGUGUGAAAAAAAUACACCAAUAAAUAAAAAAAUAAACUGUAAAUGAGGUAAUGCAAGAACAACUUAAUACCUUGCUAGGUUAUUAAUGAAGUAUGUCUCCAAUAUGGGUAAAUAAGAGACUAGUCCAAGCAUAGGUGCCAUGACAUUAUAUCUUAUAAUGAAGUCAUGCAUUAAAACCUGACAUGGUAAUAAGUUGUCAUAUUAGCACAUGAUAGAUGAAAAUAGAAUUAAAACAAUAGUAUAAACAAUACAUGUGACUCCACCAAACCUAUUGCAAACCUUUUCAACCACAACUUCCAUAUUUCUCCAUAGGAGUUGGAUGAGUAGCAUAAAUAGCAGCAAUAACAUUAUCAGCAGCAGCAUACCAUUAUGUUUCCUAGCAGCCAAAACUGUCAAUUAAGAUUUCUAUUUGGAUACAUGACACCAUAUGCGUCAAUUGGUUAAUAGCAACAUGGAACAUAAUGAAUAAAUAUCUACUAAGUUUUGUUACAAGAACAGUUGAAAGGACGCAUGAUACCACUUUCAAUGUAACUUUGCAACUAAGAGACAUUUUCCUCAAGUCAACAACUAAGGUUUCAAUAGUUGGAUGAAUUGCAUAAAUAAAAUCAAUAACAUUAUCAGUAAGCGCAUACCAUAAGUUAUCUGGCAGCCAAAAACCGGUGAUUAAGCUUUUCAGAAUGCCAAAUAUCAGGGUCUCAUUAUUAGACAAUAGGUUUUUCUUUCGCUCUUUAGAAAACUUGUAAGAGUAAUGCAUCCGAUUCAAGCAUGUAGUUCAAGCAACCUUGGAGUUGUUGAAACCAAUAUUAGACCCCAGAAUGAGGACAAUAUUGAGAAGCAAAAAAGUACAGGUUUUAAAAGCAAUCCAAUGUGAGGCUACCCAAUCAAGGAUCAGUACAUUAUCAACAAAUCGUAAGUAACUCGAGAUGGAGAAUCCACCUUUGGAAGAACGCUCAGAUUGGGCCUAGGACUCUCCCCAAGAUUUAAUUUACAAGAUAAUGUGAGACUAGAGAAACCUUUGAUUAAUGAACAUACAUGAUCAAACACGUCUUACUCUUCGAGACAGAAAAGCUCUUUCCAAGAGAGAUCAAAUAAUACAUCUAUUUGCAUAAAAAGAAAAAAAGAUUCAAAUCCUAAAAAAAAAAAAUGGUUAAAAUAUACAAAAUAAAUAAUAUCAAUAUCUUUACUUAGAAAAAUGACUAAUGAGAAUAAAAUAGAUAUUUGAAUCUAACUUGGAAAGUGAAAACUUAACUCAAAUACACAGAAUAGUUGAAUUUGAUGCACAAGAGAGAGUUUGUUUACCAGGUAUCAAAUAAAAAUUAUCAAAAAAUAAUAUAAAAAAAAAACAAUGGAUUACUCAAAUGUUCAAUUGAUUAUUAAUUUUAAUUUUUUAUUUUUGCUUUUCUUCCCAUUUCUCAUAGUUGAGAAUAUUUGAGGGUUUUAUCAAUUGUUGAUGGGAAAAAACACCAUUGAUAAGAAAACUGAAUAUAAAUCAUGAACCAAAAGAUUUACCCCACUUGUUUAGAUGCCAUGAAUAUGUAGGAUAAUAAAAGAAAACAAACUUUUCUUGAUAUAUAUGGUAACAAACACAUUCUCCACGGCUUCAUAAGUGGACUAGUCCUGAGAAAAUAUAGGACAACCUGUGUUGGCUAAAAUCAACUUUGCAAAUCUAUCAACGAGCUCCACAAGAAAGCAACGUCUGAUAGUUAUAGCCCCAACUUUGUCCUUCACAUAAUCUUUUCGGUUUGUCCUUCCAACCUCUAUGAUAGGAGAACCAACCAAACUACCAACAACACAUGAUUGCACCAUAUAGUGGUAUUUGGUAGCACAUGUCCCCAUUAAAUCACAGAGAGCAUCUUUUGUCUUUCAAUCUUUUAACAGUAUUGUGUUCUUAAGCAUAGUGUACAAGAGAUGUAAAUUAAACCUACAAAGAUAAACAUGCAAAAUAAAAUUAAAACAAAUCCAACUACUCACCCAACUUGAUUUACAACAAAAAAUAAGUAAUUUCCAUAUGGUCUCAUGGAGUUGAGUAUCUAACCCCUCUGUUGUUUCCAAUUCCAAGAGUGUAUAGGUUGUUUCUUCCUACAACUAGUACUGCCUAAAUCCAUUACAAGAACACUUUCAUAAAUUAGUAGCAACUUCCCAAUAUGACACACAUGCACAUACUUAUCAAAUAAAUAAAUAAAUAAGACACACAUGCACAUAAAAUGGAAGAGUACCUUGGGGUUGUUGUUGGGAAAAAAAAAAGUAUAGAUUUUAAAAGCAUUUCGAUGCAAGGCCACCUGAUCAAGAAUUAGUACAUCAUCAACCUGAUCAUUAGAAACUCAAAAAAGAGAACUCAGAUUUGGAAGAACACUGAGAUUGGACCUAAGACUAUACAACAUCUACUUUACAUUUUACAAGAAAGGGUAAGACUAGAGAAGCCAUUGAUUAUGGAAUACAAAUCAAAUGCAUCUUGCUCUUCAACAUAGAAAAACACUGCAUCAAAGAUAUUAAAUGAUACUCAUACAAGUUUGAGUAAGAAGAAAAACAGAUUAAAACCACAAAAUAUGGUUAAUAUGUACAGAAAAUGUGACGACCCACCCUUGCAAGCGCCAUCCACGCAAGACAGCGUCUCUUCCCUAGUCUGAAGACUGAGAUGUAGAUACUAUCCUAUGAAAGAAAAUUAACUUGUGACAAGAUAUACUAUGUCAAAGCAAUACAAGGAUGCAUAUUAAAGGAACUAUAAAUUCAUUACUAUGUCCGAGAUAAACAGUUUUGCAUACAUAAAAGCUGGUCUUAAGGGAUCGAAAACUUGUACAUACCUAAGAAAAUGGCUACAUGCCAGUAGUCUAUCCAAAAAGAAGCAAAAGGAAACGGCAACAACAUUUAUAUGCCUUGUUGACUAUCCUCCAUACCUUGCUUGGGAUUUGGUUCUACUAGGUCCUCAUCUAAAAAAUUUAGGGAACUACAAAGUGAAUAACUCAGUGAAUGAUCAUAUAAUACAGGUUGUAGUGUGGUCAGUCCAAAGUAGAAAGAGGAGUUUUAUCAUGUAGGUAACACUCAACGUAGAUAAUAUAUGGUAUAACAAUCAAGUAGACAUGCAACAUUGGACGACCCGAUGUAUAAUCAAUCAAACACAUGCAUAAUCCAUGGCUACAAUGUCACUCCAACUCUCGACACAUAUGCAAUAUAACUGCUACAAUGCCCUUUCCUCCAUCAGCAUGUAUCACAUAUGCAACCGCAGGCGACAUAUGUCUCAAAUAUCAUGGUGCCUUAUAGACACAAUAUCCCUACAUCUCUCGACACACUUCUCAUACAAACUGCUCUAGUGCCCCUUUAUCUCUUGGCAUAAAAGAUUACUAGGUUAAUUGGCUACAGUGCACCCCUCCAUUUCUACGGCACGAUAUAGGUCUAGGGUAAAUUACAAUCGCAUCCAUAGUAAUAAUGUAAAAUACCAUAAUGACCACCAAUGAUUUUUAGUGAAUGGUACGUUAAUAUGAAAUAUAUUCCCUUCAUCUAACAUAUACAAAAGAAUAGCAUAUAUGCAUAUAAAAAUAUCCAACACUCCAAUUCACAAAAUAACAUAUGUUCCCAAAAGCAUAAUAAAAUAUUAAAAUUCAAAGGAAAUUUAAAUUUCAAAAAUAGUGGGAAAAAAAAAACUAUUUUCACCUCAUAAAUGAAUUUUGUUGAAUUUUAAGAAAAAAUCUAGUCUAAACUUCCAAAAUCAAUGCCAAUGUCAGGCUAAAAGGUUUUAGCUCAAUACCUCCAUCAUGAAGGAUGAGAUUACUUACCACACAUUCAAAUGUCAAGGUUUGUAAAUUCCAUGUGGAGUUUAAACAGAAUCUUCAAAUAAUGUGAGGAACAUAGACAUAGCUAUGAGAAGUGAAGAGCGAGAGCCACACCUCUUGCAUCAAACCAAAAUUUCUACAAAGCAUCGACAACAAAGGUGCACAGUGGCCAAUCAAGCUCUUCUCCACAGAAACACCAUAAACAAUUUCAAUCUCUGCCCUUUAGGAAGCAAAAUCAAUUAUUGCAUCUUAAGAAACAUCAAGACCAAACUCAGCAUAAAAGCCAUUCUCCUACAAAGCACCAUCCAAGAAAGUGGAAUCAGUCAAAACAAGUAAAAAACCACAGAUCUUAUAUUUAAUUAUAAUAAGCCUCACAUGUGUAACCUAUGUAAUAAAUAUCUAAAUGUUCAUCUAACUAGACAAUGUGAUUUUCUCAGUCAUCUAUUGUAAGAAUUUUCAUAGUUUUUCGAUUAGAUGAUAUGGAAUAAUCUAAUAACAAUACUUGAGGACAAUAGAUGAUACCAUUCUCUUGCAAGACACCAUCAAAGGGACCGAGAUCAAUCAAAAGAGGUUCUAGUAAAGAAAAAUUGAAAUGAUUAAAUGCUUUUCAUACUCAAUAAUUCCAACCUUGAUAUCAUACUCAAUUUUCUCAAUGUAUUAAAGAAAUGAAAAAUAAUUCCAACCUUGUAUCUCGGUUUUUCUAAAACACUUGUUCCAAUGCAUGAAAUGAUUUUAAUUCAAUGCCUACAUCAUGAAGAAUGGGAUUAUUUACCACACUUUUAAAUGCCAAGUUUCACAAAUUCCAUGCGACAUUUAAAUAGAAUCUUCAAAGAGUGUGAGGAACAAAGACAAGCUGUGAGAAGUGAGAGUUGAAACAACAUUAGCUUGAUCUAUAAUAAAAGUGUGUCUGAAAACUUUCAGUCUAGACACAGUAAGGUCCAGCCUUGAUCUACUAGUUUGUAGAUAAGGAUCAAGCUAUAAUUUGGUAUUAGUUUCUGGAAAGAAGUAGAGAAAAUCAACAGCAUCAACUUGAUAAAGUUUACAUAUACCUUAAUAUGUGCAUACCUAUUGUCUCUCUUUGAUCAAUAAAAUAAUCACACCCCGCCAUAUUAAGGAUAUAUAAAAUGUACAUAGGAAGCUCAUAGAAUGGAAACAACCCUCCUAAAAAAUAAUUAAAUCAGAUCAAUUCUUAUCUGACAUGCAAAAACUGAAAAACAUAAAAUUUAUAUAUAAAGUAAACUCCAAGCUCUAUAAUUUUUCUGCGCAACACACAAAAGUUGCCCCCAGAAUUAGUUUCAACUGCUCCAACAUUUCCCUUUUUGGAAACAAAAAUGUUUCUGGCAAAACCAUUUUCAUUUAUAAUACCCAACAAGCUAUAAAUAUGAAAUAACUUGAAAAUAAUGUCUGAUGCUAGGUUUUGAUUUGUCUUCUUCCAAGGGCAUGUGCUCAAAAUCCUUUUAAUCAAAUAUUUCAUUUUGGUAAUAUAUAUCCCAAAAAACCUGUUUACUGCAAGAGGAAGGCAUCUUGAUUCAACUAGUUGCUGCACAUAAUACAUCUUUUGGUGCAGAGUUUAUGCUUCUUACCUCUCAUUAUCCAAGAAAUUUUUCCUCCAACGUUUGAGUGUCUGGUGAUAAUGUAUUCUUAUGUUUUCCAGAUGCUCCACACUGCAUUUACACAACUCUCUUAGAUUAAUUUUUUUCAGAAAGUGGAAGAAAGAUGAUUAAUUCCAAAUCAUUGUAUUAGCUUUUACCAGUAUGGCCAUUGUUACUCUAAUGAAUGAAGGAAAACAUCCACCAAGGAAGCUGCACAUAAUACAUCUUUUGGUGCAGAGUUUAUGCUUCUUACCUCUCAUUAUCCAAGAAAUUUUUCCUAUUAAUCAAAAGGGAAAGCAGAAACUUUAUUGGCAUGCAGAGUAACAUGAUAGAGCCAAUUAGAGAAGCUCUCAUUUUUUAAUGGACUGAGGAAGUGUUAGAAUCCAGGUUUAUUGUCCUGAUUUUUUUCCAUGUGACUUAGGUCAAGCAUGCUUCAAGUAUGAAGAUAGGUGGGCAACUAUCUCAGCAAGAUCAUGGACAGAAUGACCUUUAGCCUUGUUCUCAAACAGAGAAAGGAAAAAAAACAGAAAAUUAAGACAAUCCCAAUAAUGAUGUAUUAGUUAAAUUACAGUUCUGUAAAUUAGGUACAACUUAUAGAUUUCCUUUUGUAUAUUUAUACCCAAAGUUAAAAAGUAAAUAACCUACAUUUCAUGAUAACAACUAAAAUAAAAAUAGAAGUAUCUAUUUUAAAAAAACAAAAAGAAAUUGAGCAGAGUGUAUCAAUAUGUUACUAGUGCCUUAUUUUCUAGUACAUGAUGAAGCAUGUAUAACCUGCAGCCAAUUUUCUGAAAGCAACCUGCAGCCUUAUUUUCUACCACUUUCUGUACAAUAUAUUUAGCUAGAGAUCAAGAAUCAAAUGUCAGUUGUAUUAUAGCCUCGAAUUAUGUGGGUUAGGCCUUUUUUAACAAUGGAAAAUCAUGAUUUUCGGAGGCAUGUUUCUACCAGUGAUAGACCAAUGUUGAGCUAAAAUGACCAAUGAACUUAAAAAUAGUUUUUUUUUUCUUGCAUUGCGCUAUCCUCCUUUUGCUUCGGUUAGUUGGGUAUUCAUUUAGAGUGGACAAUAGUACACAUGUGAAUCAUUUGUAUUGAAUUAUAUUAAUUCGUAUAUCAAAAGCUAGCUAAAGAUUUUUGUAAGACAAAUAUUUAGGCUUCCAGGCAAUUGCCUCCAUUGAGACUUCCCACAACUCCAAAAGUAUUUCCAACUUCUUCCUUAGUAAGCUAUUAGUUGAAAUGGCAGUUAUAAAUAGAUAUAGAGAGAGAGAGAGAGCAUCACAUACCCGGCCCUAGAACUCAGUUUACUAAACUGCUCCAAGAUAGACAAGAGGCAUGUGUGUCUUAAGGAAAUAGCAUGGAAGGCUUCUGAAAGCUCAUGCAUUCUUGAAACAUUUUCCAGUGAUAUAUCCUUGAAAAUAAAAAUAAAAGAGUCACCAGGUGUCCACAAUCUGAUUCAAAGCAGUAAAGGAAUUCAUAUCCAAAAAAUCGAGCUCCUUAACUCACAUGGGCAAUGGUACACUCACAGGGACGCUUUAUCCCUGCAAGAGAUGCUGAUCAGUAGCUAUGAGGAGAUCUUGCGCAAUAUCCAAUAUAAUUUCUACAGAUCCAGUGUAUAUAAAUCUGUACAAAAAUAGAAUGUCAGUAAAUAAGAAAAGCUCAAGUCAAUUUGGAGAUGGAGCAGUGAUGCAGACAAGAUUUAAUUUCCAUCUGAGUUGUCCAAGGCCUAAUCUGGUUCUUGGUGUUAAACCUCAUUCAGAUAGAUCAGGAAUCAUUGUCCUUCUGCAAGAUAAAGCUAGAAGUAGAAGGUCUUCAAGUUUUCAAAGAUGAUAAAUUGUUUAGGUUGUUGACUAGAUAGAAUUGAAAAGGAGAAUAAGGGAAUCAAGGUGUAAUUUUUUCUUCUCCCUAAUAUAAUAAGACAACAAUAGACAAUGCUAAACAAGUUAAAAUCUUAUUUAUUCAAAGCAAGUCUUCAAGGGGCGUAUUGUUUCAAAAGAAAAAGAAAAAAUUUAAUGACAUUAAUCAGAAAUCUUCCAGAGUCAAAAGCCCCCAAAUGAUGUGACAAUCAUAUUCAAGUGUAUUGAUAUUUACCCACCUCACCAACAUUGCUCAUGGCAAAGAAAAGUGUCCCUGCAACAAGGAGUGUAUCACCAAUUAGAGGUUUCAAACCUUCUAAGUGACAAAUACAAGUUUGUGUGAUAGUUGAUACUGUACUAAUAAAUAAUAAUGUAAAAUUUUCAGUAAUGAAUUAGAAAAUGCCUCAAUGACAAAACAAAGCUCUAGUUCUAGAAUUUUCAGGUGGAUUAAGUCAUACUCUAUUUUGCUGAAUUUCAUGAUAGUUAUGCACUAAUUCUUGAAAGAUAAAGGUUUUUGGCGCCAUAAAAAUAUGUCGCACAUAACAGUCUAUGCAUGAUUUAGACCUUUAAGUUCAAAAGAGAGAAGAGAUCAUGGUGAUACAGUUUUUGUCCAAAGCCUAGAUUCGGAAACUUCCAUUUUCAAGGUUAUCUUUCACUAAAAAUUGCUACUUAUCUGUUUCUGUUCAUUUAUUCAUGAAAAAAAUCAUUAUAAUAAUUGAAUUGAUGAAUGGUAGGAUGAGAAGGGAGAGGAUUUUUACCUUAGCUUUGAUAGGGUUUUCUAUCAUGGAUUUGAGCAAGUUGAUGUCUAUGAAUUUCUACAGGUAGUUUUAUUUGACUUAAAAAGAUUAAAAAACUAUCUGUUUUUAAUUACAAUUUCUGCACAACUAAACAGCACAUUAACAAACGAAUGGACUAAAAAAACAGAUCUACAAUAACCAUGAAAGAAUCAUCAUCAAAAACUAAUUCCCCAAAACAAAGAAUCAGACCCGUGGAGAGAAUAAAUUAAAAAUUAAAAAUUAAAAACCAAAAAAGAACAAAUCAUAAAAAAUAAAAACAAAAGGACUCGGAUCCAAUUUUCUAAGAACCCUAUUAUUAUUCUUGGUUUAAACCAAAACCUACGAGUUUCAUCACAAUCAUCAAGAACCCGGAUUCAUAACUCACCUGUAGGGGGGCGAAAGUCUACCGAUCCCGGCGAGCAAACUCCCAAGAACCUGAUGCGAGUCCCUCUAUCUUGCAGCUAACCUAAAGACUCAGACCUCUCGUGCUUCUUCCGUGAGAGAAUAAAUUCAAAAUUAAAAACCAAAAAGGAACAAAUCAUAAAAAACAAAAGGGCUCGGAGACCAAAUUUUCCAAGAACCCGACUAUUUUUCUUGGUAUAAAGCAAAACUGACAUCAUCAAGAACCCGGUGGGAUUCAACUCACCUGUAGGACGGCGCAAGUCUGCCGAUUCCGGCGAGCAAACUCCCAAGAACCCUGAUGCGAGUCCUCUAUCUUGCAGCAAACUUAAAGACUCCGACCUCUCGUGCUUCCUCUCCUCUCCUUCAAGAAGUCUUCCGAUCCCAAGGCAGUGGUUUUGACAGCAUGAAAACCCAGUCAAUCGCAAGGGCAGCCCCGCCCCUAGCUUAAUCAGCCAACCGCACAACCCUGACCCAAAUCUAAGGUUUCCAAAAUCCCACAACCACAAAACCACUACGCAAUAAGUUGAUUCCCCGAGCUUCCACACCGAGAUCGAACCAAAUCACACCGUGCCCUAGCCUCUCGGCCAAUAAAACUCAAAAGUCCUCCGCCUUUCACUUCCCCUUCUUUCCGCCGCGCCCUAGAUUCCACUUCGGGGGGACGCCACCAUAGAUGAGACACAAAAGCCUCGUCUUCCUGCCUCCAGUUUCUUUCACUUUCUAAGCUAGCAGGGGAAAAAAUUUGUUUGGACGAGAAGGUGAGAUCGUGACGACAAUAAGGUGCAUAAAAGAGAAGAGGAGAAGAAAAAGAGGUGAAAGAGAGGAAAAUCUCGAGACUACAGAAUGAGUAUGGCAUAUCUAUAUCAGAUCAUCGUCUUCACUUAACCAGAAUUUAUAUAAUAUUUUCAUGUCCC
rnacentral:lncRNA from 1 species